CAGGAUUAGAUACCCUGGUAGUCCACGCCGUAAACGAUGUCGAUUUGGAGGUUGUGCCCUUGAGGCGUGGCUUCCGGAGCUAACGCGUUAAAUCGACCGCCUGGGGAGUACGGCCGCAAGGUUAAAACUCAAAUGAAUUGACGGGGGCCCGCACAAGCGGUGGAGCAUGUGGUUUAAUUCGAUGCAACGCGAAGAACCUUACCUGGUCUUGACAUCCACAGAACUUUCCAGAGAUGGAUUGGUGCCUUCGGGAACUGUGAGACAGGUGCUGCAUGGCUGUCGUCAGCUCGUGUUGUGAAAUGUUGGGUUAAGUCCCGCAACGAGCGCAACCC
rnacentral:rRNA from 1 species